CGACCUCAUCGUCACUAGAUCGUUUCUGCCGAAAUACUUCUACCGUAUUCAAAAUGAAAUUACUCGCUACUGCAGUUUUCGCCAUAUUGGCCUUCUUCCAACUCUACGCUGCCAUCGAGGCUUCUGAUUCGAGUUUGGGCGGAUACGGCGAUGGUUCCAGUCAGGCUGGACUCUCGGACGAAGGAUAAAUCCUUUCGGAAGCCAACUUCUGCAGGAAUCCAAUUGUUGUAUCGAUACUUUUGGAACCUUGGAUUGAAUACUGCUUACAACCAACCUGAACGAUUCUGGCCUAUAAGAUAAUAUAAUAUUGUAAUGACCAAUAAAGCAUGCUAAUGUGAUUUCAAA